rnacentral:rRNA from 1 species
UACGGAGGGUGCAAGCGUUAUCCGGAUUUACUGGGCUUAAAGGGUGCGUAGGUGGGUAAGUAAGUCAGUGGUGAAAUCUCCGGGCUUAACCCGGAAACUGCCAUUGAUACUAUUUGUCUUGAAUACUGUGGAGGUCAGCGGAAUAUGUCAUGUAGCGGUGAAAUGCUUAGAUAUGACAUAGAACACCAAUUGCGAAGGCAGCUGGCUACACAAAUAUUGACACUGAGGCACGAAAGCGUGGGGAUCAAACAGG